rnacentral:lncRNA from 1 species
CGUCUCACGCCGCAGCACACACUCGGAAAACGUUCACAGCUCAAGGUUCCUGGUGAGAACUUGGGGAGUAUAUAACGAGGGAGGCGAGGGCCGAACCACACAGACGCUGUGGAGUGGCGAGUGUGUCAAUAGCUCACCCUACCAACAAUCUUGGACCAAUUGGUGUGACGUUGCAACCUACCCGCACAAGAACCUUAAAGAUGUACUUCCUCCAUGCUGUGGCGAUGCUGCUGCUGGUCUCCCUGGCCCUGGUCGUAUACGCUACGCCUUUGAUUGGGUUCGGCCGUGGUCGUGGACGCUUCAGGCCAUUCGGUGUUGGCACCCGCGAGUACCCGGACCCCUACGCCUUCGUCAGACCAGAGUUCUCUAGGGCCUUCCCUGUCUACCCCAACUUCAUCACUGGAAUCGGACGUUGAGACAGUCCUGGAAGUCUUCCUGGACAUUGAGGCAGUCCUGGAGGCCAAUCUGGACGCUGAAGCAGUUCUAGAAGUCCUCCUAGAUGUUGAGGCAGUCUUGAACAUCUUCUUGGACGCCGGUGGCAGUCUUGGAAGUCAUUCAGGAUGCCCGUGACGUUGCUGGAAGUCCUCCUGGACGCUGCGACAGUUCUCGACGCCCUCCUGAAAUGCCUCCAAUGAGGCAUUAGAAAAAUGAGCAACAACGUGACAUUUGACCUGCAGACAUCAGAACUUCUAUGUACUUCAUCUUGAUCAGUCUUAAUCAUUCCAGAAUGAUAUCAUUACAAUCCUCCCCAUCCUUGUGAGUGUUAGUAAGGGCCGGACGGCUUAACACCCUUCGUCAUCCUUGUGGGUCAAAGUGUGCGCCACAUGGCAUCAGCAUGCCUAGUGAUCCUGGCUAGUUUGAGUGCUAGACGGCUCAACCUAUUUAGCCAUCCUGACGAGUAUGAAUGUCAGAUGGUUCAUCAUAGCUAGUGAUAUUGAUGGGCAUGAGUGCCACAUAGUUGAGCAUGUCUAACAGCUCAACAUUGAGCAUCACCCUUAUCACCACCUCACCCUGGGAGCCAGAUAGUUGAACGUUACAUCAUCAACCUGAGAGCGGGAGCCAGAUAGCUCAACAUUGCAUCAUCAACCUGACAGUGACGAGGCUACCAGCUGGCAUGCUGCCAUUAAUGGCAGCUGGCCGCUGCCAUUACACACAAACAGGAAGGAAGUGUUGCAGAGUCAAGAGCAAAAUGCACGUAUUGUCUCGCGACUGGUGACAUAUACACGGACUUUAGUCUAGUCAAGAGGCAUUCAAAUGACCCUUGCCCUUAUAUGCUUCUCGCAGUUCGUACCACUAAACCCCAGUGAACAGUGGCGCUGGAGCUGCAGUCAGAUCAUAUGCUGCAGAUGCCAAUACCGUUGGUGUAUCACCAAUCCUGAGGAGUAGUAGCCUAGAAUAAAUUAGCAGCGUAAAAUAAUUGAACAGCCUAGUAUAAAUUAGCAGCUUAGUAUAAAUUAGCAGCCUAGUAUAAAUUAGCAGCCUAGUAUAAAUUAGCAGCCUAGUAUAAAUUAGCAGCCUAGUAUAAAUUAGCAGCCUAGUAUAAAUUAGCAGCCUAGUAUAAAUUAGCAGCCUAGUAUAAAUUAGCAGCCUAGUAUAAAUUAGCAGCCUAGUAUAAAUUAGAAGCCUAGUAUAAAUUACACAGCACCUAUAAUUUAUCUUAAAAUGAUUACGAUUUAUUUAGCCGAGUAAAUUUACGAUGCAGUGUAAUAUUCUGUAAUUCCCCAGUAGUUAAUUGUUAUAACGUAAACAAACACUGGAUUGGAGGCGCCAUCUUUCGCUCCUCAUCAGUUGUCAGAGGCGGAGCAAACUCACUAUCAUUGAAACAUUUUUAUAUGUUAUCCACACAUCAUUACCAGACGCCGCUGGUGAGAGCAGCGGCACCUCGGCGCCACCUGACCACUGUCGACUCUUGCUUCCCUGCUCACAUCAUGCCUGUGAUAUUAACUUUUAAGUCACCCAAUUUCCUAUUAUUUUGUAUUGUAUGUUUAGGUUAAAUUUAAGUAACAUGCGAGGAAAUGUAAAUAUUUAUCAUUUGUAUUUUUGUUAUGUAAAAUCUUGUAUUUGUAUAUAUUUACGAAUAUUUGCAUAGUUUAUUUAUAUGAAUAUCCUUAUUUUUAUAAAAUGCAAAAUUAGCUUCUCAUUUUAUUUGUAUUAAAUGAUAAAAAAGCAAUCAAAUUUUUCCUAUGUUCUUUGAUAAUAAAUAUCAUUACCAAAGUCCACGACCAAUUAUUGAACACGAAAAUACACAAUAUAGAAAUAUAUCGUGGACAGCUGGUGGCUGGUCACGUGUCCUCACGCAUAAUACAUCGUAUUUUGACGAAAAAAAUAAAUUCCCCCAACGUCAAAAUAUGAUGUAUUAACACAAAUCAAAUUUCGCAAAAAUUGACGCGAUGUCCCAUUUUCUACGCGUGGGUCCUCGAUUAGAAUAGGUUCGGGCAAUUUAGCACAAUUUCUUCGUGGCUGCUGUAUAAAAUUCAUUGGAAUUUGGCAUAUUGAUUGACACGUCUGUUGCCAUGCUCACUCACUGUGCCCCUUCCGCCCAGGCCUGACCUAAGCGGCCAAUCCGGUGAAUCAGAGAUUCUGGGGAUUUGUUCAAAUUCAUUCAGCGUUGAGGGUUUACAAUUGGUGUUUAGCAGCAUAUCUGAAUGUAAUGAGGGACAUUCAGAUAAGACCCGAUGGUAAAUUAAUUCUGAGAUAAGACUCUAGUGGAAUUGAACCCACAGAUAAGAUCGGAUGGGAUAUGGACCCUCAGAUAAGUCCCGAAUAGAAAUGAACGUCACUUAAGGCCCGAUGGGAAAUGAACCCUCAGGUAACACCGGAUGGGAAAUGAACCCUCAGAUAAAACCCGAGAGUAAAUGAACCCUCGGAAAAUAAAAGUUAUUAUAUAUGAACAAGGGGAAAGCCACGUUCGGUUUAAUUCUAAUUGUUCUCAUUUAAAAGACUGAACAUUUAUUAAUUUAAAAAAUGGAUACGUUAUUGCCUAUUUUGAUCUUGCUUUAAGCAUAUGCAAGAAGAUUAGUAACAGAAAACUAAAAGAAGUAUAAUAAAUGAAACUGCGGAAGGCUAUUGGCUCAUAUGAAGCAGCUCCUAUUUAUAGCCACUCAAUCUCAUUCACAUAUUCAAAUUCAAAUUUGUAUUCAGGUAAAAGUACAUACAUUGACGAAGAGUUACAAACAUAAUGGAUUUAUAGAUAAGAGCUAGUACAUAUAAUACCUAAAGCCACUAAUACGCAUAGCGUUGUCUAACUUACGCUUGAAACAAUCCAUCGAUACCACGUCUAUUACUUUGCCCGGUAAUUUGUGCCAUAAAUCGACAACGCUGUUUCCAAACUAGUAUUUACCCAGGUCUUUCCCGUGUCUAAGUGUAUCCAAUUUUAUAUCCAUUACUUUGAAUUCUGUUUUGUGUUGUAUAUUUAAAACCUUUGUUUACUUCCCCCUUAUGCCUUUUCUUUCAUCUGAACACUUCAAUCGUGUUACCCCUUACUCUUCGUCUAUCUACAGUAGAGAAUGUCAAUUUAGGACUUGUGUUCUCUUCAUUAGGAAGGUUUCUAAAAUUCCAUGGAUCAACGUGGUCAUCGUUCUCGGUAUCCAAUCAAGGGAAUUCUAUAGCACGGAAGCUAAAACUCGACUUCAUAAUCUCAAAUGGGCCUUAGAAGAGCAAGACACAGAGGAAUAAGAAUAUUAGAUGUUUUAUUGUUAACCCUUCUAAAAAUAAAUCUAGUAUCCUAUUUGCUUUACUCCGUAUAUUUAUGCAUUUAUUUUUUAGGGGGCUUCAAGAUCCCUACUGAUCACGACUCCUAGAACCGUCUCUCAUUCACGUUGAAACAGUAGUGAUCAACAGAGGUUGGUGUUGAGUAGGCUGGGAGAGACGUCUCCCGUGGUAGACCCAGAACCAGCUGGGUUUAGUUGUGAGUUGCGGCGCCACACCCUAGCUGUGCCAGGUGUGAGAGCCUUUGUGUACACCACUCGGCCUCGUCACGCACAUUCUCUCACCCCACCACUCACAGUCACACACCCACUCAUACCUACACACCUUACAUUCCUCUUACGUCACCUGAGUACUGCACACACCGUGAUGCGAUCCGGCCUAGUCCUGUACACCUCUCUCUCUCUCCCACCAAUACAUCUAUUCCUCCAUUUCCCAUCCUUAUUUCCUCCCUCCCUAGUGGCCAAAAUAUGGAUAAUGUUUAAUCAAUAUUGAAUUACUGUUACAUCAUCGUCGCUUGCCCAUUACCUCCCAAAACCGGGAAAAGGACGUUGAUGCAGCAUUGAUAUCGUUGGCCCUAAAUUGAUUUACUCAAGUAUAUCUUGCCCGAGUAAAUUCUGGUACGUUUCAAACACUUCAUACGUCGUUGCAUAGUCUACGAUUCCUCAAGGUUAGGUGUCUAAGGUACUUUCUGAAUGUUGGGAUGUGGUAAGAGUUGUGGUUUGAGAUGUGGCAAUACUGUCACAGCUGACAGUAUUGUCUACCGUGACAAUAGUCAACAGUAUUGACCAUACCGCAGCUUGGUGAUGUGGCCAUACCGUCAACCAGGAGGCCUGGUCAGAGACAGGGCCGCGAGGGGCACUAAUUCCCGAAACCAGCAACAGUUAGUUACAAUGUGUCCAAGGAUCAAUUCCGAUUAGCUGUGUUUACAGUGAACACAGCUGUGUAUAUAAUGAACAUGGUUGUGUUUACAGUGAACACAGCUGUGUAUAUAAUGAACAUGGUUGUGUUUACAGCGAACACAGCUGUGUAUAUAAUGAACAUGGUUGUGUUUACAGUGAACACAGCUGUGUAUAUAAUGAACAUGGUUGUGUUUACAGCGAACAUAGCUGUGUAUAUAAUGAACAUGGUUGUGUUUACAGCGAACACAGCUGUGUAUAUAAUGAACAUGGUUGUGUUUACAGCGAACACAGCUGUGUAUAUAAUGAACAUGGUUGUAUUUACAGUGAACACAGCUGUGUAUAUAAUGAACAUGGUUGUGUUUACAGGGAACAUAGUUGUCCUUGCAGUAAACAAAUGCUACGCUUGCAGUGAACAUGGCUAUGAUUUCAGUGAACACGGCUAUGAUUGCAGUGAACAUGGCUAUGAUGCAGUGAACAUGGCUGUGUUUACAGUGAACACGCCUGUGAUUGCAAUAAACACAGCUGUUCUUACAGUGAACAUGAUUGUGCUCGCGGUAGAAAAUGACUCCACUAGCGAUGAACACAAUAGCAUGGCGAGCUACAUGACACCGAAACCCUGUUGUAGUAUGGUGAGGUGUUGCCAUACCGUGGCAGGGCUUCCUAUGGUGACAGAUGGCAGCAGCUACGAUGUACCACCAAAGGAGCAGGUCAGACCGUCAUAGUCAGCACAUCCCCCCUCCGCUGGCCCGACAACACAUCCCCACUCUGUCACCCCUGCAGCAGCAGCAGCUCACAUCGCUAGGGAGGGAGAAGAGCCGGUCGUCGUACCUACUGCUUGCAACGUAUCGUAACGAGAAUACUCAACAAGUGGAGCAAAGAUGAAGGUGGUGAAGAUGAUGGUGGUGGUGGUGGUGGUGUGCCUGGCUACAGCCAGCCUCGCGCACAUCGGCAAGUCUGGCAGGCACAACGGACUCUUCAAUUUGCUGGGCGGCGGUAAUAGGAAGCGAGGAGGCCGUACUAAGCCUCCUGGCCUAGCUGGCAACCACUUCCUCCCGGAUCCCUACGCUUUUAUUAAUUCUGAUAUUUACCCCGGAGUGUUUUGAUUCUAAUUUGGUACUGUUGGGGUCUAUCAAGCCUCUGGAGACUUGUUUACGCAGCGACACUACCUUACUCACCAGCCAUUAAGUUAACUUUAAUCUACAUAGCACCAAUUAAGCACCAAAAGGGAUCAUCACCGGAAUAUGCAACACUCAAGAGGGUUCCCUGGACAC